rnacentral:rRNA from 1 species
CAGUAGCCGCGGGAAUACGGAGGGUGCAAGCGUUAAUCGGAAUUACUGGGCGUAAAGCGCACGCAGGCGGUCUGACAAGUCAGAUGUGAAAUCCCCGGGCUUAACCUGGGAACUGCAUUUGAAACUGUCAGGCUGGAGUCUUGUAGAGGGGGGUAGAAUUCCAGGUGUAGCGGUGAAAUGCGUAGAGAUCUGGAGGAAUACCGGUGGCGAAGGCGGCCCCCUGGACAAAGACUGACGCUGAGGUACGAAAGCAUGGGGAGCAAACAGGAUUAGAUACCCCAGUAGUCCCUGUCUCUUAUAC